rnacentral:rRNA from 1 species
CAGUCGACGGGAAUCUUCGGAUUCUAGUGGCGGACGGGUGAGUAACGCGUAAGAAUCUAACUUCAGGACGGGGACAACAGUUGGAAACGACUGCUAAUACCCGAUAUGCCGCGAGGUGAAACCUAAUUGGCCUGAAGAAGAGCUUGCGUCUGAUUAGCUAGUUGGUGGGGUAAGAGCCUACCAAGGCGACGAUCAGUAGCUGGUCUGAGAGGAUGAGCAGCCACACUGGGACUGAGACACGGCCCAGACUCCUACGGGAGGCAGCAGUGGGGAAUUUUCCGCAAUGGGCGAAAGCCUGACGGAGCAACGCCGCGUGAGGGAGGAAGGUCUUUGGAUUGUAAACCUCUUUUCUCAAGGAAGAAGUUCUGACGGUACUUGAGGAAUCAGCCUCGGCUAACUCCGUGCCAGCAGCCGCGGUAAUACGGGGGAGGCAAGCGUUAUCCGGAAUUAUUGGGCGUAAAGCGUCCGCAGGUGGUCAGCCAAGUCUGCCGUCAAAUCAGGUUGCUUAACGACCUAAAGGCGGUGGAAACUGGCAGACUAGAGAGCAGUAGGGGUAGCAGGAAUUCCCAGUGUAGCGGUGAAAUGCGUAGAGAUUGGGAAGAACAUCGGUGGCGAAAGCGUGCUACUGGGCUGUAUCUGACACUCAGGGACGAAAGCUAGGGGAGCGAAAGGGAUUAGAUACCCCUGUAGUCCUAGCCGUAAACGAUGGAUACUAGGCGUGGCUUGUAUCGACCCGAGCCGUGCCGAAGCUAACGCGUUAAGUAUCCCGCCUGGGGAGUACGCACGCAAGUGUGAAACUCAAAGGAAUUGACGG